AUGUGGCUUCAGGGGCUCCUGUCCUGGGCCAGGGCCUGAUGGGCACCACGUGAGGGGUACUUGGUGGACAGGGUGGGGCUGACGUGGCCUCCUCUGGGGUUGCCUGCUUUUGACCCAAAGGUCCUGACGGUGGCGUCUGGGGAAGGGGAAGGAAGGGCCGCUGUCGCCAAGGUUUUCUCUCCCAGAACCCACAGUGGGAAAGCGGUCUUGCCAGGCGUUGUCCAUCGUCAGUGUGCUCGUGGGCUGGUGGCUGGGUCCUGGGAUCCCAGGCCACGUGCCAGCCAGGCUGUGGGCGCGGCAGGGCCAGGGACGCCAAAGAGAGGUUGCGGUCAGAACCAUGGACGGGAUGGGAUGAGGUCUCUCUGCCACCAUUCUUCCUGGUCAGCAGAAGUGCAUCUCGGCAGGCUUGGGUUUGGGGUGGGGGUGUGUGGUCGCAUCCCCUGCUUGCCACUGUGCGCACCAAGGUUUCCCAGCACCCUUAGGAAGGCCCGGGCAGGACCUGGAAGCACCGGACCCGGGCUGUUCUCCUGUGUUGAAGGAGUGUGCCCAGUGCCCUUGGGCAGGACCUGUGAGAGCCACCUCACAAGCAGAGCCCCCACCAGGCAGGGCAAGGAGACUCCUCUCACACCCCAUGGCCAGCGUGGGCACAGGACUGACCCUUCUUCAGAGAUAAUGACAUUUUAUCUUUUCCUUUUGAUGAAAACUGUCACUUUAGCAUGUAAUCUAUUACAGAAUCCCAUGCAGUGAUUCUAGGAUUUGAAAUUGUAUGAUGUGUUACAUAAGAAUUUGCUAUCGACAUUCCCGUAUGAAGAAGAGAGAGACAUAUCACGCUGCUGUCAUGAUUUUGUGUCAAGAUGAUCCAAUAAAGUUGUAAAACAGG